ACAGGAAGGGACCCAGGAGGACCCUGCGCAUGCGCGCUGCCUAGGGAGGCGCUGGAAGGAGUGGGUUCCUCCUACCUGUGGCAGGACCACCCUUCCAACAGGAGCCGUGUCCCGAUCAAAGAAGACUUUUGGAGGAGUCAAACUGCAAAGAACACUCUGAGAACAGACCAGAAGCCUGGAAGAAGCAAGAACCAGUCAAGCUACCUUGAAGAUGUGUAGACCAACAGAGUCACUUAGAAAGGACACUCUUCAGUCUGUUGAGCCUCCUUAAGGUUGUGCAGCGUGCUCCAGCUUCCCAGCUUCUGGUCUCACGAUGUAUUCCUGGUUUGAGUCCAGUUUAGAGAGGAGUCUGGCUUCACACUCACAGAAGUAAGCUGCUUCUGCCUUCCAAGUUCUGAGACUGCAAGAUUGUGCCACCAUACACAGUGUUCUUGGUUGUCAACUAGACUAUAUCUGGAAGAAACAAUAAUCCAGAAAUGGAGGGCACAUUUGUGAUCUGAAUCUGGAGGAGGGAAGACAGCAUGACUCUGAUCAAGAUCUUGAAGUGGGAAGACACCUUUAACCUGGCUCACUCCUUCUGCUGGAAACUUAUGUAAGAACAAUGGAAGAAGGGAAGUAUUGCUCUCUACCGGCUUGUCCUCACCUUGCUAGCACAUCCAUUCCUUCACUGGCAUUGGAGCUUAAUUCUUUAGGAUUCUAGCAUAUACAGAAGACUGGCUGAGAUACCAAGCCUGCAGGACUGAGCAACUACUAUAUUCUUCAACUUUCCAUUCACAGUUAGCCAUUGCUGGAUUAGUUUGACUGCAGCCUGGAAAUCAUGCCAAUAAAUUCCAUGUAUAUUCAUUCCAUAAGUUCUGUGUCUCUAGAGAACCCUGACUAAUACAGUUGUUAAAUCAGUUAUUUUACCAUUUAAGAAAACUGUUAAAAUUUAUCAUGUAUUUAUUUUUUUCUAUUUGUUUCCUGCUUUCUAAUGUCCUGUCAUCAGAUACAUAAAUGUUUGUUAACUAUGCUGACUUAAUGGAUUGAGAAUGUUAGGCCUAAGGGGGCCCCCAAUUUCCAGAGGCGGAUGACGAGAACUGAGGAGAUUGGAUUAUCGAUGCAAUAGCAAGAGGUUUAUUUAAGCCAUUGUAAGAUGGGGCUGCCCCCACAAAACCAGCAAGGAACCAGCCAGGAGAGACAGAAGACUGAGGUUUUUAAAGGAAAGAGUGCGGGGAAUCUCAGAGGUUGCAAGCUUGGCCACACUGGGUUGGGUAGAGUAGUUGACUUUUAAAAUGUUUGGUUCAUUCUAGGUGCCGAGUCCAUCUGGUCCUGCCUGAUGUGGGUGGGGGAGCUAUGAUGUCUGGACUGGCUACCAGGCAAAGUUAUCUGGACCCUCCUCCACAGCAGGGAGGAGACCUUUCACAUUCCUUUGCAAUGGGGUGGGGUCUUAUUUCGAUUUACCCUCUCCUCCUCCUGCUUUCUGGAAAAGUACUGGGAGAAUUCAGUUUAUCAUGGGGUAUAGAAUUUACAAAGAAACCUGUAGAGCUGGCCUGUUCCUUUCAGAGAAGGAUCCUAUUUACAUCCAAACUGAUAUUCAUUGUUUUGAGAUCUGAUUUGCUGUUAAUCAGUCCACCUCUCUUUUGAUUACUGUUCACAUGCUGUAUUUCCAUUCUUUUUCUUCUACCCUAUUCAUGAGUGUGUGUUUGGACCUCUUUACAAAAACAGCAUAUAGCUGAUAUCUUAUUCCAUUUUAUUCUUGUUUCUCCCACUAUAUUGCUCUUAGGCAUCUAGACAGCAUAUAAGGAAAAAGCUUACAGCCCACAGUUUGUAGACUGAAAAUAAAUGACCAUGGCACCACCAUCUGCUUAUCUUCUGCUUGAGAGCUUGCGCUGAACCACAUCAUGGCAGAGAAACCAAAGUGGGUAGCAUGAAUGUAUAGGAACUAAUGUGUGGUACAAUGACUGUUGGGGGUUGCUCUGAAGCUUUAUGUUGAUGCUAAUUAUUGCUCUUCAAGAUCUGGUUACCCCUAUCCUUGUUUUGUAAACCUACCUAAGACAUUUUACCUGAUUGGAAGAUCUAUGUCUAAUUCUGUACCUUGGUGUGGCUAAAGUUCUCAGGCUAUGGAGUUCAAGAGAAUCACUGGAAACAGAGGGACAGGAAGAGAGGAGGAAGGAGGACUCCACCAUGGGUUAUUGUGGAGAAGGAGCCAUGUGGACCAGGAGGAAGGACUCCAAGUAUGGUGUGGAUGGAGAAAACACCAAGAUAAACAAUAUAAGCUCAUAUUUAUAAGAUGAUGGAUGGAAGGUGGCCCAGAUUAGGAUGGUCAAGGCAGAUGUCACUGGAUGGGAGCUGGAAGACAGAUGGAGAGGUUAUUGAGACAGCGUAGGUAAAAAAUACCUGCCUGGCCCAAGGUAAUAAGGCUGUUAUAAAAUCUAACAGGUGUCUGUGUCUUAUUUGUGAUAGCAGGUUAAAUAAUACCACUGCAAUAAUUAUAGGGCAAAAAAAUAUAGUUAACAUUACAUAGCCGAACACUCACGGUUUUUUCUGUUGAUACAACAAGAGACAGAAGUGUCAAGCUUGCUUUAUCACAAUCAACUGUUUCACUGAACAGUCAGGUCCCAUGAGGCUAAGAACUCACACCUCUGGGGAAGGGGUUAAUAUCUCUCAACACUGCAUGCCAGACUAAGCCACAGCAGAACAGUACAGUGCUGUGGCUCUCCUGUACAGUCUCAGUUCAGACUACCUAUAUUUAAUGUGCUAUAAUCAUCUUCAUUUUUAAAUUUCAGUUUAAUUUCUGAUGUGUUACGGGAGUGUAUCGUGUGGUUUUGGUGAAUGUGUGUGUGGAAGGAAGGGGAGGUUGGGUGCCAUACUUCCGUCUUAUUGCCCUGAGAUGGGGGUCUUUCUGAGCCUGAGCUAGGCUGGCAGCCAGGAAGUUCCCUUGAUUGUCUGUCUCUGCUCCAUCAUAGUGCUGAGGUUUCACAUGUUCAUGUGGCCAGGACUGGCUUUCUUAUAUGGAUUCUGGAAUUUAAACUCAGUUCCUCAUACUACUUCAUCAAGUACUCUGACUCACAGAGCCAUCUCCUGGUCCCCCUUAUUCAGUUUUUCAGUUGUUUUAGUCAGCAAGUAAAUAAGGAAGUUGGUGAGUCUGUCUCUACUGGAUUUUAAAAAUGUCACUGUAGUUGGUCAAAACAAAUACAGUUUUUCCAGCUUGUUACAACUUUUUGUCCUUUAACAAAGAGAUUUUCAUUGAAAAGUCAUUAUUAGGAAUUACUUAAAGUCAUAUUGAAUAUGAAGCAUUGUAAGAUCAUUAAAUUCAUGGAAUCAAGUCAAAAUAUCUUGAGAAAAACAAAAUUAUAUUACUUAGAAGCCACAUAAAUUAGAAGUAUCUUUCUUAAUACUGUCUAAAUUUUUGUCUGAAUUAUGUAAUGUGCAGAAGCAACACAUUUUUUUACUAGCCUGAUAUAGAUACCUUUAACCCACCACAAAUAUAUGCAUAUGCAAUAUGUUUUAUACAUGUGAUAAUUUUCUGGGAAUCACAACACAUUAAAACAUUUGUAAGGUCCAGAGAAAUAUCGGUCUUAGAGAACCUUUGAGCUGUAGGAUAAUGCUUCAAGAGUUUGGACUGGCAUAAGAGAAGUAAUAUAUCCUAAGACAAGGUGUCCAGCAUGUAUAUGUAUUGUUUAGUUUGUUUUUUUUUUUAAGAGGACAUUGUGCAGGCAACACUGAAGCCCAAAUUGUUUCAGGAAAUGAUUUUAUACUGAUCCUUAUUAGACAUCUUUUAAAAUACUGAUAAUAAAAUAGAUAUAAUUCUUUUCCUCCUGACAAUCAUUCCCUUUCUAAUGUAACUGAGCUUUUGAGUGGAUGAUUUUAUAAAAUUUCUAUAGCAAUUGCAAGUCUUCUGUAAUGCAUUGGAGGUAGGGUCUAGUCAGAAAGGAAGUCAUCAUGGACAUUACCUUCAGAUGGAACCACCAUUUUUCUUGUGGACUAUUAUAUCUUUUUAAGAGUAGAAUGAUAUAAAAGCGAAAGCAAGGGCCCCUGUUCUCUGGCUUCCCACUCUUCUAGUGAUCCUUCUAACACUUGCUUCUGUUAUGAUUCCAUUUGUUGUAAGGCUCCACCAGACUCCAUAACAAAUUAGAACCACUUCAUUUUAGAAUGUUGAUCUCCAAAAACUACCGGCCUUUAUACACUAUGUGGCAUAGGUAAUUUUUAUAGCAAUGGAAAAGAGAUUGGUGUGACCUCUGUGUGCAAAACUGAAAUAUAAUAAAGACUUCUCACAUUAAGACAAUUAAGACACAGAAAAAAAAAAAAAACAGGUCAUUGAUUAAGUGAGAAGUGCACACAAGUCUUCAGGCUCAUAAAUGAAGGGACAGUGUCCCACGUCACAGAUAUGAUUUAACUUCCAAUAGAGAAGCAGCAUUUGUUUUAUAAUCGAAGGCUACAGUAAGUUUCUACUGACUGAAGUGUUUUAUUAAAAUCUAAUUCUGCCAAAUCUUCUGCUGUGGCUUACAUUUUAUUGUAUCCAUAUUCAAGAUGGGGAGACCUAUUCUAAGCCAUAUGAUAAGCACUUAUACUCGAGCAUCAGGACUGAGCCACUGUUCCUUUAAAUUAAGACAAAAAACUUUUGUUCUGAAAAGCCCCAAAAUCAGAUAGUAAAAUUUGGGAAAUUUAUAUCAGUGCUGAGACUUCAUGAAAAUGUCUUUAGACAACAAUCAUAAAAAUGCAGAUGGUAAGAAUAUAUAAUGAGAUUUGGGGAAUUUCAAUUUUAAUAACAGAAUAAAACACUGUCUCUUGUCUGUAAUUUAAUAAGGAGAGUUUUCCUGGGGUUAUAAAAUGUGAAAUUAUAGCCUGGAGUUUCUCAGUGACAACUAAAUUUAAAUAAGAGCUUUGGAAUGAAACAUCACAAGGUUUUAUGGUGAAGAAUGUACUUUUGUAAAUAAUGUCCAUAAAACUAAGUCAGUGUAUCCUAAAUAUUUUACCAGUAGAUGCUAAGGAGAAGCUUGAGGCAGGCAAACAGAAUCAAUAAUUGAAUACUGUGCACUAAAGAAUUAUUGAUGAUAUUUAUUUUAUACUGAUGCAACUAUUUGUACUUUCAAAUGAACUCUUCAGUCUUUCUACAGAGGUAUUUUGAAAUUAAAUUUAAACUUUUAGAAUGA